rnacentral:rRNA from 1 species
GUAGGGUGCGAGCGUUAAUCGGAAUUACUGGGCGUAAAGCGUGCGUAGGCGGUUCGUUAAGUUUGUCGUGAAAGCCCCGGGCUCAACCUGGGAAUGGCGAUGGAAACUGGCGGGCUGGAGUAUGGCAGAGGGGGGUGGAAUUCCGCGUGUAGCAGUGAAAUGCGUAGAGAUGCGGAGGAACACCGAUGGCGAAGGCAGCCCCCUGGGCCAAUACUGACGCUCAGGCACGAAAGCGUGGGGAGCAAACAGGAUUAGAUACCCUGGUAGUCCACGCCCUAAACGAUGCUCACUAGGUGUUGGGGAAGCGAUUCCUUGGUACCGUAGCUAACGCGUGAAGUGAGCCGCCUGGGGAGUACGGCCGCAAGGUUA